UACGGGGGGGGCAAGCGUUGUUCGGAAUUACUGGGCGUAAAGGGUUCGUAGGUGGCUUGUUAAGUCAGACGUGAAAUCCCUCGGCUCAACCGGGGGAACUGCGUCUGAGACUGAUGAGCUCGAGUGCAGGAGAGGAACGCGGAAUUCCAGGUGUAGCGGUGAAAUGCGUAGAUAUCUGGAGGAACACCGGUGGCGAAGGCGGCGUUCUGGACUGCAACUGACACUGAGGAACGAAAGCCAGGGAGCAAACGGG
rnacentral:rRNA from 1 species